UACAGGGGGUGCAAACGUUGCUCGGAAUCAUUGGGCGUAAAGCGCACGUAGGCGGUCUGUUAUGUCGGAUGUGAAAGCCCUUGGCUCAACUGAGGAAGUGCAUCCGAAACUGGCAGGCUAGAGUACUAAAGAGGGUCGCGGAAUUCCCGGUGUAGAGGUGAAAUUCGUAGAUAUCGGGAGGAACACCGGUGGCGAAGGCGGCGACCUGGGUAGAUACUGACGCUGAGGUGCGAAAGCGUGGGGAGCAAACAGG
rnacentral:rRNA from 2 species